rnacentral:lncRNA from 1 species
UUCAUCCUCAAACUAUGAGGCAUGUGACGGUCGUUAAUUUUUAUUUUAUUAUUAUUUCUAAUUCAAACUUUAUAAAUUAUUAUAACUAAUUAAACUCCACAACUCAGUAUAGUUCGCUAAUGCUUCGUUUGGGAUUGCGGAGAGAUUGCGUAACGUGCGGUGAGAAAGUAUGUUGGAAAAAUAUUCUGUUUGUUUCUGUACGUAAUAUUGCGUUCCGCAUAGCACAAUGAGUCGAUUACGAUAUAUUUUCUACGGUCUCAUCGGAGAACACAGAAGCAUAUCCCUACAUGCUUUUUCCUCAACUACAUUCUAUCUAAUAGCGUUAGAUAGGCCUCAAUACCAAACUAAGCCUAAAUAUUGAUGAGUCGCCAAUAGGAAAUUAAUGUAGCAUCUUAAUUGGUAUUGCAACGCUAUUAAUAUUAUAUUUCUAUAGUAGCAAUAUGAGUCUAGCUAUUAUACUCUUAUAAGUACAAUCCCCUUCGUAUUUAUAAGUCGUUUUCAAUGAUAAAGCUUUUAAUUAAAAUCGACAAUCCAUACGGUUAGACAUUAUCUAGAGUAUUUAAAACUUUUAAAAAUCAAAUAUUAUAAUUUUGCGCCAUUAUUUUCUUUACGAUCAAAAGAUAUCAAAAUUAAUAAUUUUUAAUAGCCGGUGUGAAACACUUGUUAUUUUAAUGAUGUAAAAAAAUCGAAAUCUGCUGAAAUUUUGGUAAAAUUUUUUUUUUUCACUGUCUAGAUAAAGAUCAAUAAUUCUACUCUUAAAUUGACAUAUUCGAUCAUCCAUUCUUAGAAAGUCAUUCGAUUUUN